AUUGAACGCUGGCGGCAGGCCUAACACAUGCAAGUCGAGCGGAUGAAGGGAGCUUGCUCCUGGAUUCAGCGGCGGACGGGUGAGUAAUGCCUAGGAAUCUGCCUGGUAGUGGGGGAUAACGUCCGGAAACGGGCGCUAAUACCGCAUACGUCCUGAGGGAGAAAGUGGGGGAUCUUCGGAUCUCACGCUAUCAGAUGAGCCUAGGUCGGAUUAGCUAGUUGGUGGGGUAGAGGCCUACCAAGGCGACGAUCCGUAACUGGUCUGAGAGGAUGAUCAGUCACACUGGAACUGAGACACGGUCCAGACUCCUACGGGAGGCAGCAGUGGGGAAUAUUGGACAAUGGGCGAAAGCCUGAUCCAGCCAUGCCGCGUGUGUGAAGAAGGUCUUCGGAUUGUAAAGCACUUUAAGUUGGGAGGAAGGGCAGUAAGUUAAUACCUUGCUGUUUUGACGUUACCAACAGAAUAAGCACCGGCUAACUUCGUG
rnacentral:rRNA from 1 species